GAUGAACGCUGGCGGCGUGCUUAACACAUGCAAGUCGAACGGGCGCUUUAGCAAUAGAGCGCUAGUGGCAAACGGGUGAGUAACACGUGGGCGACCUGCCUCAAAGUGGGGAACAACAGACCGAAAGGUUUGCUAAUACCGCAUGUGCUCGACGAUUCAAUUGGUCGAGUAAAACCGCAAGGUGCUUUGAGAGGGGCCCGCGUCCCAUCAGGUAGUUGGUGAGGUAANGGCCCACCAAGCCGAUGACGGGUAGCUGGUCUGAGAGGACGAUCAGCCACAAUGGAACUGAGACACGGCCCAGACUCCUACGGGAGGCAGCAGUGGGGAAUAUUGGACAAUGGGCGAAAGCCUGAUCCAGCGAUGCCGCGUGUGUGAAGAAGGCCUGCGGGUUGUAAAGCACUUUCAGUAGGGAA
rnacentral:rRNA from 1 species